AUGAAAGAAAACAAAAAAAAAAACAAAAAACACAUUGAAUUUUUUUACAAAAAUGAUUCUAAUUUAUUUUCUCCUUGUAUAGAUAACGAAGGUGCAUUAUGUGUAAUUUCAGAUAGAGGAGACAUAUUUAGAUAUAAACUAAUAAAUUUAAAAAAAGAUGGUAAACGUGAUGAUUCCUCAACUAGCUCAUCUUCUGAUGAAACAAAAGAAGAUGAUGACGAGGAUGAUGAUGAUGAUGAUGAUGACGAUGACGAUGACGAUGACGAUGACGAUGACGAUGACGAUGACGAGAGUGAUAGCAAUAAUAGAGUUAUAAAAAUAAAAAAGCAUAAAAAUUAUAAUAAAGUAGAGGAAGAGAAAUACUUUAACACAGAUUUAACAACAGAUUGUUUGUGUGCCGAUAACAAUAAUAAUUUCUAUAUAUUCGAUCCUUUUACACGGAGUCUAAUGGUUAUCAACAAAGAAAAGAAACUAGAGCUUUAUACAGAUGAAUACGAAGAUAAAAGUUUUAACAAAAUAAAUAACAUGUUUUAUGACAGAAAAGAAAAUAUGCUAUAUAUUAUUGAUUCUGGAAAUAUGUUCGAAGACACUGAAUGUAAUUUUUACUAUAUAAAUAAAGAUGUAGAAACGAUGUUACCUAUUAAUAUACAAAAUGUAUCAUACAUUAAUAGUAUGUGUGUAUAUCAAAAAAAUAAUGUCUAUAUGAUAUAUGUAUGUUUAACAAAAGAAAAUAGAAUACUACGAUUAAUAAAAAAAGGAAACACUUAUAUGCAGACUGACUUUUUGUAUCUAAACGGAACAUAUUCUCCUGUAUUUAUUUGUACGGAUAAUACAAAUUUUGUUAUUUUACUAAAAGAUUUAAGUGGUUGUGAACAAAGAGGAAAACUUAUUGAAAUUAAUUCAAAUGCAGAAAUUAUUAAUUCCAUUUUUAUUAAUGGAGAUGCAUUUAAUGGAAUAUGUUAUGACUAUAAUUUGAGUAAAUAUUUUAUUAUUGAAAAGAAUGUUAUUUAUACGUAUUGAAUGGGGGUUGUAGAAAAAAAAAAAGGUGGACCAUAGAAAAAGGGGGGGAAACAUAAAAAAAAGGG
rnacentral:lncRNA from 1 species